AGAGCCAAGCCUGAGGAUUCAGCUUAGUACGAAGUGCAUGAAUGUUUAAUUGGCUUUCAUGUUUACAUAUAAUUAACUACAUGUCCAUUUUUCGUUUCAGAUUCUCCUAAAAUAUAUCCUUACGUGAAGCCUACCGUUGAAGUGAAAGAUUCCGUUCCUACUAAAACAGUAGAAGUGAAGGAAAAACAAACAUCCAAAUCAGCUUUGUCCAGUUGGAAGUCUUCAGUGUGUUUGGCUCACAGUACUGUGUCUUGUCAAAGAUCCAGGGCUUUGAGAGUUGAUGAAUGCCCAUCUGUAUCACACUCGGUGACCCAAAAUCAGUCAGCAUCCAGAGGAUUUGGACAGACGACCUUCAUAGAGAAAGAAAAGAUUAAUGAUAUUGGAGUUGUGUUUCUGUUAGAGAAUUAUAAACUCCAUGACCUGUAUAAAUCACAGCUACCAGAAAGCAGAGAGCACAAACAAGGUAAUAAAGAAGCAUAGAGAAUUCAGCCUCUCCAUGACUUCACCAUAGUUCUGAUUUUUCAAAAAUAAUUUUGUGGCAAAAUUUACUUUGUGUUUACUCCUUUUAUGCAACCUACAACCAAACAGAAUAUCUUUUAGCAAGACAUUUGUAUUCUUCCUCUAACCAAAGCAACACCUGAAUAAGAAUUAGGAGAAUGUAAUUUCUUUGGGUUAGUUUUUAGCAUUCAUUUGAGAGUAGGUAGCAGGAUUAUAUUUAGAACUUUGGGACCAGUUGGGAAUACUAGGUAGAGAUCUAAAGAUUGUUUACUCAAAACAUAGUUUCCUAGCUUUAUUUUAUAGCUCUAAAUUCACAAGUAUUGGUCAAGCUAUAUUCAUUGUAACUAAAAAAAGCACCUUCCCAA